CUUAGAUCGUCUUGUUUAAGAUACUGUCACUACAUUGUUUCGACAUAUAAGCCGCAGUUGCUUAUUUAAGGGUGAUGUGGUCAGCAAACCGGAGGGGGGAAAUUCCAUGUUUGUUUCCAAAAGGACAAGCAGGCAAGGUUAAUCGAAAGGCAAGGCAGACAAGAGGCAGGCAGGAGAGUAGUAUGAAACUUACCGGCUGCAAGUGACCUAAACAACACAUCUCUGAGCUGUUCUCUUUCCCUCUCUGAUCAAGACACAGCAUAACCAUAAAGAUUUUAUUUUUAAGAAAUGCUCACAACGACUUUGUCUCCUCAGAAGACAAGAUGGGAAACAGAGUGUCCAGUGACAGUGGGGUAAACACUUCAUUUGGCCAAAUCUUAAUAUUUAUUAACUUGAUUAAUAACAAUUUAAAACUAAUAAUUCACAUUUCAUUUAUUUUUUUCAUGUUUUUUUCUUCUUCCCCAAGGCAACGACUUUUGUUAUCAGUCGAACUGUGAGUACAGUUUAAACAUUAAACAGUGCAUCUGUUUUAGAAAUUAAAAAAGAACACAUGGAUCUGCAUGCAUCUCUAAUACAGGUUUUUUUCGACAUUCCAGUGGACAAUUUAUACGCAGAGCCGGCCGUUUUGAAAUAUAUAAGGAUGAUGUGGUAGCUUGUUUGUUACCUAGUAACCAAGUGAUCACCCUUUCCACUUGUACAUGAAAUGCACACAAAAGGCCAAUAAAAUAAUUUUACAGUUGUUCUUGAUAUUUGUCCCGGCUAUCCGGGGCCAAUCAAAGUCCCGCGGCGCUGCGGUAUCGUGAAACUUAAAAUAUUUAUAAAACAAUAUAUAGAAAUAUACAUAAAGAAAUAUUUAAAACAAGCUUGUAUGACUUGUUUGCCUUCAUGGUAAUCCAGAAAGCAUGACAUCGAGGGUUGAGUCACUGUUUUAUAUCUUUUUUUGGAAUAAAUUAAUGAAAAGAAUGCAAUUAAACAAUGGAUUAAGGGACAUUUUAUUUUUUAUAUAAAAAGGCAAGCAGACGAGAAUCAAAAGUCCAGCCACUCCAGCUCCUCUAC